AAGCUAAAAUGUUGGACUGAUAAACCGUGGUUCUGAACAAACUCACUACUAGUAAUUUUGCUGAACUAAUAAGCGAGUGUUUAUCUAGAACCUAACAUACUCUUCCUCCUGUCCUAGUUUCCAAGAGCAAUUUGUCAUGUCUGACUUUCCAGGCUUUUGUAAAUGGAGGUUUACUGGCUACAUCAAGAUAAAGAUGAAAUGUAUCUCAAUAAAUGCAUGAUGGAUGACAGUGGGGAUGAUAUA
rnacentral:lncRNA from 1 species